rnacentral:tRNA from 1 species
CGGGGCGUGGCGCAGCCUGGUAGCGCGCUGCACUGGGGGUGCAGAGGCCGUGGGUUCGAAUCCCGCCGCCCCGACCA